AACGAACGCUGGCGGCAGGCCUAACACAUGCAAGUCGAACGAGAAGCUGGAGCUUGCUCCAGUGGAAAGUGGCAGACGGGUGAGUAACGCGUGGGAAUUUACCCAAUGGUACGGAAUAACGCAGGGAAACCGGUGCUAAUACCGUAUAAGCCCCUCGGGGGAAAGAUUUAUCGCCAUUGGAUGAGCCCGCGUCGGAUUAGCUUGUUGGUGAGGUAAAAGCUCACCAAGGCGACGAUCCGUAGCUGGUCUGAGAGGAUGAUCAGCCACACUGGGACUGAGACACGGCCCAG
rnacentral:rRNA from 1 species